rnacentral:rRNA from 1 species
GAUGAACGCUGGCGGCGUGCCUAUACAUGCAAGUAGACGCUGAAGCUUGGUGCUUGCACCGAGCGGAUGAGUUGCGAACGGGUGAGUAACGCGUAGGUACCUGCCUGGUAGCGGGGGAUACUAUUGGAAACGAUAGCUAAUACCGCAUAACAGUAGAUAUUGCAUGAUAUCUGCUUGAAAGGUGCAAUUGCAUCACUACCAGAUGGACCUGCGUUGUAUUAGCUAGUUGGUGAGGUAACGGCUCACCAAGGCGACGAUACAUAGCCGACCUGAGAGGGUGAUCGGCCACACUGGGGACUGAGACACGGCCCCAGACUUCCUACGGGAGGCAGCAGUAGGGAAUCUUCGGCAAAUGGACGGAAGUCUGACCGAGCAACGCCGCGUGAGUGAAGAAGGUUUUCGGAUCGUAAGCUCUGUUGUAAGUAGAAGAACGAGUGUGAGAGUGGAAAGUUCACACUGUGACGGUAUCUUACCAGAAAGGGCAGGC